rnacentral:rRNA from 1 species
UGCCUAACACCGAGUGUUUUCGGAGCUCGUAAGUUGGUGCAAGCGAGAGCGCGAACGUAGAGAGCGCUCCACGUAUUAAAUAAGUGCCAAUACAAAAGCUGAGAAUGUUCGGUGUUAGGUGCUGGAUAGUGGCGGACGGGUGAGUAACGCGUGGAUAACCUACCCAUAAGACCGGGACAACCCUUGGAAACGAGGGCUAAUACCGGAUAAGCUUAAAGCCUGGCAUCAGGUUUUAAGGAAAGGUGGCCUCUGAACAUGCUAUCGUUUAUGGAUGGAUCCGCGUCUGAUUAGCUAGUUGGUGGGGUAAAGGCCUACCAAGGCGACGAUCAGUAGCCGGCCUGAGAGGGUGAACGGCCACACUGGGACUGAGACACGGCCCAGACUCCUACGGGAGGCAGCAGUGGGGAAUCUUCCGCAAUGGACGAAAGUCUGACGGAGCAACGCCGCGUGUACGACGAAGGCCUUCGGGUUGUAAAGUACUGUCUUCAGGGACGAACGGUACCUAUGAAAAUAUUGUAGGUACAUGACGGUACCUGAGGAGGAAGCCCCGGCUAACUACGUGCCAGCAGCCGCGGUAAUACGUAGGGGGCAAGCGUUGUCCGGAAUCAUUGGGCGUAAAGGGCGCGUAGGCGGAUUUUUAAGUCUGGUGUGAAAACCUAGGGCUCAACCCUGGGACUGCAUCGGAAACUGGAGAUCUUGAGGACAGGGAGAGGAAAGUGGAAUUCCACGUGUAGCGGUGAAAUGCGUAAUAUGUGGAGGAAACACCAGUGGCGAAAGGCGAACUUUUCUGGACUGUAACUGACGCCUUGAAGGCGCGAAAAGCGUGGGGAGCCAAACAGGAUUAGA